rnacentral:rRNA from 1 species
GACGAACCUUGCAAACGUUAUUCGGAAUCACUGGGCUUAAAGGGUGCGUAGGCUGUGCAGAAAGUUGGGUGUGAAAUACCUCGGCUUAACCGAGGAAUUGCGCCCAAAACUACUGUGCUCGAGGAAGAUAGAGGUGAGCGGAACUUAGGGUGGAGCGGUGAAAUGCGUUGAUAUCCUAAGGAACACCGGUGGCGAAGGCAGGUCUCUGGGCCACUACUGACGCUGAGAAGCGAAAGCAUGGGGAGCGAACAGG